rnacentral:rRNA from 1 species
UCGAGGAUCAUUUGCAAUGGGCGCAAGCCUGACAAUGCGACGCUGCGUGGAGGAUGACGGCCUUCGGGUUGUAAACUCCUGUCAUUUGGGAACAAUAUCGGGAAGGUGAAUAGCCUUUCCGGUUGAUGGUACCAGAAGAGGAAGUCACGGCUAACUCUGUGCCAGCAGCCGCGGUGAUACAGAGGUGGCAAGCGUUGUUCGGAUUUAUUGGGCGUAAAGGAUGCGUAGGCGGUUUUGCGUGUCAGAUGUGAAAGCUCACUGCUCAACGGUGAAACGGCAUUUGAAACUGCAGAACUAGAGUACAGGAGAGGAGAGCGGAACUCUUGGUGUAGCGGUGAAAUGCGCAGAUAUCAAGAGGAACACCGGUGGCGAAGGCGGCUCUCUAGACUGAUACUGACGCUGAGGCAUGAAAGCUGGGGGAGCAAACAGG